ACAGGCUUUUAUUACGGAUUUCCAUGCUGAACAAAGGCCAGGAGGAAUGGCUCAGUGCAGAAACAAUACAUCAUCAGACUGACCUAGUUUGCAGGACCGCGGGUGCUUGCGAAGGAUAAUUAUCUUCUGUGAAUCGUUUCCAUCAAUGCAUCAGUCAAUCAAUCUUCACCAGCACCACACGCCAUCAGCAACUCCAUUUUGUUGUUUCUUCUAAUGGAAACGGCUCUCCAUGAGAGUUCUGAUGAGUUCGAGUGAUGAACGAGGACACAGUUUGGUGAGAGAACCAGCACUUAAUCUGAAGCCAUUCUGUGCAUCCCUGACUCAAAAAUGCUGGUUCUGCACCUGACACUUAAACUUUGUGGUCUUUCACCCCGAUGUUCUCACCAAGUGCACUUUUCAAA